UGGGGAAUAUUGGACAAUGGGCGAAAGCCUGAUCCAGCCAUGCCGCGUGAGUGAUGAAGGCCCUAGGGUUGUAAAGCUCUUUUUGUGCGGGAAGAUAAUGACGGUACCGCAAGAAUAAGCCCCGGCUAACUUCGUGCCGGCAGCCGCGGUAAUACGAAGGGGGCUAGCGUUGCUCGGAAUCACUGGGCGUAAAGGGUGCGUAGGCGGGUCUUUAAGUCAGAGGUGAAACCCUGGAGCUCAACUCCAGAACUGCCUUUGAUACUGAGGAUCUUGAGUUCGGGAGAGGUGAGUGGAACUGCGAGUGUAGAGGUGAAAUUCGUAGAUAUUCGCAAGAACACCAGUGGCGAAGGCGGCUCACUGGCCCGAUACUGACGCUGAGGCACGAAAGCGUGGGGAGCAAACAGGAUUAGAUACCCAAGUAGUCCCUGAGCGGGCUGGCAAGGCGCAU
rnacentral:rRNA from 1 species